AGCAGCCGCGGUAAUACGAAGGGGGCUAGCGUUGUUCGGAAUUACUGGGCGUAAAGCGCACGUAGGCGGACUUUUAAGUCAGAUGUGAAAUCCCGAGGCUCAACCUCGGAACUGCAUUUGAAACUGGGAGUCUAGAGAUCAGGAGAGGUUAGCGGAAUACCGAGUGUAGAGGUGAAAUUCGUAGAUAUUCGGUGGAACACCAGUGGCGAAGGCGGCUAACUGGACUGAUACUGACGCUGAGGUGCGAAAGUGUGGGGAGCAAACAGGAUUAGAUACCCUGGUAGUCCACACCGUAAACGAUGAGUGCUAGUUGUCUGCAGGCAUGCCUGUAGGUGACGCAGCUAACGCAUUAAGCACUCCGCCUGGGGAGUACGGCCGCAAGGUUAAAACUCAAAGAAAUUGACGGGG
rnacentral:rRNA from 1 species